rnacentral:rRNA from 1 species
CACGGCGAAUUGUAGUCUAUAGAGGCGUGGUCAGUAUAAGCACUUGGGGUAAGUUCCUUGGAAAAGGACAGCAUGGAGGGUGAUACUCCCGUUCAUCUCUAAGUUGCUUGUGCGUACGACCCGUUUUCUUUGAGUCGCGUUGUUUGAGAAUGCAGCGCAAAGUAGGUGGUAAAUUCCAUCUAAAGCUAAAUAUUGGUGCGAGACCGAUAGCAAACAAGUACCGUGAGGGAAAGAUGAAAAGAACUUUGAAAAUAGAGUUAAAGAGUACCUGAAACUGCUGAAAGGGAACCAAAUCGUUUCCAGUGUCUAUAAUCCGUGGUAUAUUUCAUUGGCGAGUGUGUGCGUGCGUGUGCUGUUGCAGUAGCUUUUUGGCUGCGCUCAGUGUGUGUGCUGUGUGUACUUGCUGGUGCCCUGUGCUACGGUGGGACGUCAAGGUCAGUUCGUAUGCUGCGGGAAAUGGCUACUGAGGAGGUAGGGCUUACGCUUGCGUUUGUCUGUUAUAUCUUGGUGGACGAGUCGUCGCGGUUGGGACUGAGGUGCCUACAACGUGCUUUUGAGUGGGCUUGGGUCUCCGUGUGCGCCGUGUGCGGAUAGCUUGCUAUGCGUGUGUGGUUGUAUGUGGAUUGAUGCGAGCCGUAACUGUAGUCGU